AAUAGGAAAUCUGGGUCAUAUGGUGGUUCUAUCCCUAAUUUUUUGAGGAAUCUCCAUACUCCUUUCCAGAGUGGUUGUACUAGAUUGCAGUCCCACCAGCAUU
rnacentral:pre_miRNA from 1 species